CACUUAGAAAGGUUCAGAUCAC
rnacentral:miRNA from 1 species